UCUAUAUGGUCCAUCUACCUUAUACUACAUGCAUAUGGAUUGAUCGAUGCCUUUUAAUUCAGUGAUGGUCCAUCCAAUAACUUUUUUUUAUUCUUUCAGAGCACCUACAAGUUUAGCUUCCUGAUCAAAAGUCAGAUCUGAUAUAAUGAUCAUUGAGAGGGUGUCAUUGGGUCCUAAGAAUACAUACUUGAGUGUGGUACGAAGG
rnacentral:lncRNA from 1 species